rnacentral:rRNA from 1 species
UACGGAGGGUGCAAGCGUUGUCCGGAUUUAUUGGGUUUAAAGGGUCCGCAGGCGGAUUUAUAAGUCAGUGGUGAAAUCCUAUUACUCAACAAUAGAACUGCCAUUGAUACUGUAAGUCUUGAAUUCGGUCGAAGUGGGCGGAAUGUGACAUGUAGCGGUGAAAUGCUUAGAUAUGUCACAGAACACCGAUAGCGAAGGCAGCUCACUAGUCCUGGAUUGACGCUCAGGGACGAAAGCGUGGGGAGCAAACAGG